AGAUGCUGUUAUAUUGGAAUUAUCAUAGCACCGGCGCUGAAAUUUAAUUCUCCAAUCCAGCUCAGAUGUCAAGUCUCCCGGUGGUCUGAAGUAUGUGGAGGCAUUUGGUAGUGCACAUAUGAUGUCAAGUCUCCUGGUGAUCCUAAGACUUGUUUAGAUGCCUAUGGAUUGUCCUCAGUGAACUUGCGUGAAUGAUAUCUGCAUUUGAAGACUCUGUGGUGUUUUUUAUUAUAAGUUAAAGGUUUAUCUCUCUUUAUGUUGUUCUUUGGUAUCUGCUUCGGUUGGGGCUUACCUUCAUAUUUUCUUCUAAAAAUAGGAGACUUGCUCACAACAUUUGAACAUUCGCAUGUAUGGGAUAGCACACAUUGUGUGGCUAAGCAUGGCUCCUGCAUAUGAGAAGAAGAAGAAAGUUGGUGUCUUAAUGGCUUCUGGUCUCUUUCAAAGGGCUUCUAUAAGUUCUCUUAUUCAGCUUGCUAUGGAUAUUGACUUUAGGUAAGUGUAGAUGGAUAAGCAUUGUCGUGUCUGGCAUAAAUUAAAUAGUGUCAUCUGAUCUUUUAAGGGUUUUGAAUUGUGCAGUGUGGUUACAAGUUAUAGGUGAUAAAGAACUGGAGUUACUUUCUACAACUUUUAGUUCAGUGUUAAGUAAAUAUCUUAACAAGUUUUGUUGAACCUGAUAUUUACUUAUAAUGGGUAAUGCAUUAAGGUGUUAAAUUCAUUAAGGAACUACGAGCUCUCAAAAGUGCAUUUCUGUGGUUAGUCACAUUUCAGUCAAUUAUAGUAUUUUUCUGAUUUGGGUUGGUCAAUCAUGGGAUGAGAUUGUAUAUGAGGGACCAGUGGCUUCCCAACCUUGAGCAUUAAAGAAAUCAUCUGUUAGUCGGCUGCAAUUAUACAAAACAUGAUUCAAACUGUAGAUUAGUGUAGACAAUGUGGUUGUGCUACUCUAAACUUAAUCGGCAUAGUACAUUUGCAUGGUUUUCUAUGAAUGUGAUGUUGUUUCUUUACUUCACAUACAGCUGCACCUAAUCAGCCUAUUAUGGUUAUUUGUGCCCUUCAAAGACUUUUUUUCCUUCCCAUUUUUCGCACUAUUUGUUAAUUUUGUAAUUCUACCAUGUUGUUUAGCUCUUGAAAAGAUUGUUUUGUAACUAAUACAGCUGUCAUAUUCUACUACGAAGAGAUAACAGAUAUAUACAUGCCCAAGGUUAGGUUUAUAAUCUCUUUCUCAUGUUCUAUUACCUUCUGAAAAGCACAUGUGAAAGGGCAAUAAUGCAAUUGAGGAGCAGUCUUUCUGUUGUGGAGACUAUUCUAACUAUAUUACUUAUUCAUGGUAUUCAGGAUCAAGGCUCAGAAGCACCUAGUGGAAAUGGGUUCAUUGCUUAUAAAAGUGCAGGUUGUUAUAUGGUAGUAAUUGUUGUAGAUCAGCUUACUAGCAUUGACGAUAAGCAUUCUGCAUCUGUUACUAGGGGAUUCUCUGCACAACUACUUAUUAUUGCAUAAGCUAAUGCGGAGAAUAACAUUAAGCUGCUGUACCUAAAAGAAAAGUAUCGAAACCUGUUCAUAAGAAGGUAGCUGUGAAUCCCAAGCCGUAGGCGGCAAUUGAAAUUAGCCCCGAUGCGGAAGAGUUUAAGAAUUAAAAACCUCAGAGAAAGCAUCAAGAAAAACAGUGCAAAACUUAACUGCAUGUUAUCUGCUCGUACCAAGGAGAGCUUGACGAGGUUUUAGACGGCAAAAAGAGGCCCAUUCCAGUGCUGUAGUUCUUGAGAGUAUUGGUGACAUUCCCGGAGCUGAUAUGAGACCUCCAGUAAACAGGCUCUUUGUUUGUAAGCUUAAUCCCAGUUACCAAAGUGAAUACUUUUUAUGACUUGGCUGCUAUUUGCUUUCGUGGCGGAUAUUAUGCUUCUAUUUGUUUUAGACGUUAAAGAUUUUGAUUUUUGAGAUUUGCUUUUGAUUUGUUGAUUGUAUUCGGGUGUAUAAGGAAAUGUUGGAUUGACCCUCCCCAAGGGAGAUUUGAAGGAUGUCGAUGAGGAAGUGGCCAAAAAAAUUAAUGCUGCUGUCGAUUUCUAAAGGAAAUUAUAGGCUGGUGUUUGUGGAAGGGUUGUUUGCUGAUUUUCCCCCAUCAGAGACAAUCUUUAUUAUCUUAUUUUUUCUUCAUAACAAGUAGUAAUAUCUUUUUUUUUUAACAAUGUUGAUAGCUUAGAAUUGCGAUGCAAUGGGUGGUAUGUAGAAUAACUAUGUUGACAGUUAGAUGUAUAUUUUUUUGAAUAUUUGAAUGUAUACAAUAAUGUUUACAGUCUUGAAUU